rnacentral:tRNA from 1 species
AGCCUGUUAGUAUAAUUAGUACUCAUGUCUUCCACACAUAAGGUUUGUCCACACAAACAUGCUA